rnacentral:rRNA from 1 species
UCCGUAGGUGAACCUGCGGAAGGAUCAUUACCGAGUGUAGGGUUCCUAGCGAGCCCAACCUCCCACCCGUGUUUACUGUACCUUAGUUGCUUCGGCGGGCCCGCCAUUCAUGGCCGCCGGGGGCUCUCAGCCCCGGGCCCGCGCCCGCCGGAGACACCACGAACUCUGUCUGAUCUAGUGAAGUCUGAGUUGAUUGUAUCGCAAUCAGUUAAAACUUUCAACAAUGGAUCUCUUGGUUCCGGCAUCGAUGAAGAACGCAGCGAAAUGCGAUAACUAGUGUGAAUUGCAGAAUUCCGUGAAUCAUCGAGUCUUUGAACGCACAUUGCGCCCCCUGGUAUUCCGGGGGGCAUGCCUGUCCGAGCGUCAUUGCUGCCCAUCAAGCACGGCUUGUGUGUUGGGUCGUCGUGCCCUCUCCGGGGGGGACGGGCCCCAAAGGCAGCGGCGGCACCGCGUCCGAUCCUCGAGCGUAUGGGGCUUUGUCACCCGCUCUGUAGGCCCGGCCGGCGCUUGCCGAACGCAAAUCAAUCUUUUUCCAGGUUGACCUCGGAUCAGGUAGGGAU